rnacentral:rRNA from 1 species
UACGAAGGGGGCUAGCGUUGCUCGGAAUUACUGGGCGUAAAGCGCACGUAGGCGGAUUGUUAAGUCGGGGGUGAAAUCCUGGAGCUCAACUCCAGAACUGCCUUCGAUACUGGCGAUCUCGAGUUCGGGAGAGGUGAGUGGAACUGCGAGUGUAGAGGUGAAAUUCGUAGAUAUUCGGAAGGACACCAGUGGCGAAGGCGGCAUACUUGCCCAUUACUGACGCUGAGGCUCGAAAGCGUGGGGAGCAAACAGG